ensembl:lncRNA
CUAGAAUAUUCCAGGAAUGUCUUCUUGGCGUUUUCUCGCCCGAUUUCUUGAGGAAUUUCCCGCGAGAUGCUUUUUAAACGGUAUUAGAGGAGUUCACACCGACGCCGCGCUCUUACCCGCUGCUCUUGGGGAUCUGUCGCGCCGAGUCGUCCGUUUUUAAAUAAAGAUUCAUUUAGUAAAUAAAAUGUUCGUUUUAGUCUAACGAAAGAAACGGAUAUGCCGGGACGGUUAUAUUUUUUGUCCGCGCCGCCGAUUUCACACGUUUACUCGCGCACACACAGCUUCAGAUCAAAAGCUUUUUAAACAUCGCGAGAGACGUUUCCGUCGGGCGUCCACAAACUUUUGACCCGCAGUGCGCGGACGGUCCCGCCGUCUUGUUUUUCAAAUCCAGUUCAGCUGUAUGAAGUGUCCGGAAGUGACCGUGUCGAAAAGCCUCUCGAACCUGACGGGUGAAAUCCGCGGGCGUUUUUUUUCGUCUCUUCUUAGUGGCGUCGUAAACCGGGAGGCGUAAAGACCGCGACCAUGGCGCCGAUACCGUGCGAGGUAGAAAUGCUCGACAGAACUCUCGUAAAACGCGCACGGACAUUUGGUGAAAAUGUGUCCGUACUGCGUCGGGCUCUCGGGCAGUCGCAGCUGUGAAAGUCAGAAGACCCGGACGCUCUAUAUAAAGCGAGUUGCGGCACGCGGAGGGAAGUGGAGACGUAGACGCACGCGUAGAGGCGCUGUAUUUUCUGUAGUUCGUUAAGAGAAGGUACACUGAACUUCCCAGGAGGACGUGACUGCACAGUAAGUUCUUUCACAGACGUUCCUCAGCGGUAAUGUAAAUAUCAACAGGUUAAAAGAAUACGUCACUGGUUAAUAAGGAUAAAAUGUAAAGGUUGGGAAAUCGCUGUGGAAUAAAACUCUCGAUGUUAUUGGAUCAUGUUUAAACCCCACGGAGGGAAGAGUUGAGUCGGGCUUUAUUCCUACACUUUAUAUCCUGCUACGCGCAGAGUCACUGAAUCCUUCCCCUCUUAUAUUUCUAUUAGUUUCUGUAUCGGUGUUGUAGAGGAGCGCUGAGUCCUGUAGAGGAGUCUUGGAGAGGAGUCCUGAGUCCUGUAGAGGAGCCCUGUAGAGGAGUGCUGAGCCCUGUAGAGGAGUGCUGAGUCCUGUA